AGUGAACGCUGGCGGUAGGCCUAACACAUGCAAGUCGAACGGCAGCACAGUAAGAGCUUGCUCUUACGGGUGGCGAGUGGCGGACGGGUGAGGAAUACAUCGGAAUCUACUUUUUCGUGGGGGAUAACGUAGGGAAACUUACGCUAAUACCGCAUACGACCUACGGGUGAAAGCAGGGGAUCUCCGGACCUUGCGCGAUUGAAUGAGCCGAUGUCGGAUUAGCUAGUUGGCGGGGUAAAGGCCCACCAAGGCGAGGAUCCGUAGCUGGUCUGAGAGGAUGAUCAGCCACACUGGAACGGAGACACGGUCCAGACUCCUACGGGAGGCAGCAGUGGGGAAUAUUGGACAAUGGGCGCAAGCCUGAUCCAGCCAUACCGCGUGGGUGAAGAAGGCCUUCGGGUUGUAAAGCCCUUUUGUUGGGAAAGAAAAGCAGCAGGUUAAUACCCCGCUGUUCUGACGGUACCCAAAGAAUAAGCACCGGCUAACUUCGUG
rnacentral:rRNA from 1 species